GACGAACGCUGGCGGCGUGCUUAACACAUGCAAGUCGAACGAAAAGAGGGAAAGAGCUUGCUCUUUCCGGAAUUGAGUGGCAAACGGGUGAGUAACACGUACUCAACCUGCCUUCAGGAUGGGGACAACAGACGGAAACGACUGCUAAUACCGAACACGUUCCACGGGCCGCAUGGCGCAUGGAAGCAACGGUGGGCUCUACCUGUACGCCAUCUCCUGAAGAGGGGUUUGCGGCGGAUUAGCUGGGUGGUGGGGUAACGGCGCACCAAGGCGACGAACAGUAGCCGGUCGGAGAGGAUGAGCGGCCAGACUGGAACGGAGACAGGCUCCAGACGCCUACGGGAGGCAGCAGUGGGGAAUCGUCCGGAAGGGGCGAGAGCCUGACCGAGAAACGCCGCGUGCGGGAGGAGGGCCGUCGGGUUGUAAAUCUCGGUGAUCCGGGACGAAAAGGCAGAGUGCGAAGAACAAGCUGGAUUGACGGUACCGGAUAAGGAAGCCACGGCUAACUACGUG
rnacentral:rRNA from 1 species